GAUCGUGUGGCCUAAUGGAUAAGGCGUCGGACUUCUACCAGAUAACUGACAUCCGAAAAUUGCGGGUUCGAGUCCCCCCUCGAUUA
rnacentral:tRNA from 1 species